rnacentral:rRNA from 1 species
UGGGGAAUAUUGGACAAUGGGCGGAAGCCUGAUCCAGCAACGCCGCGUGAGGGAUGACGGCCUUCGGGUUGUAAACCUCUUUCACCUGUGACGAAGCGAGAGUGACGGUAGCGGGAGAAGAAGCACCGGCCAACUACGUGCCAGCAGCCGCGGUAAUACGUAGGGUGCGAGCGUUGUCCGGAAUUAUUGGGCGUAAAGGGCUCGUAGGCGGUUUGUCGCGUCGGGAGUGAAAACCCAGGGCUUAACCCUGGGCUGGCUUUCGAUACGGGCAGACUAGAGGUAUGCAGGGGAGAACGGAAUUCCUGGUGUAGCGGUGAAAUGCGCAGAUAUCAGGAGGAACACCGGUGGCGAAGGCGGUUCUCUGGGCAUUACCUGACGCUGAGGAGCGAAAGUGUGGGGAGCGAACA